CCUGCCAGUAGUCAUAUGCUUGUCUCAAAGAUUAAGCCAUGCAUGUCUAAGUACAUGCCGUAUUAAGGCGAAACCGCGAAUGGCUCAUUAAAUCAGUUAUGGUUCCUUGGAUCGUACCUUACUACUUGGAUAACUGUGGCAAUUCUAGAGCUAAUACAUGCAGCAGAGCUCCGACCUCACGGGACGAGCGCUUUUAUUAGACCAAAACCAAUCGGACUUCGGUCCGUUUCAUGUGGUGACUCUGAAUAACUUUGGGCUGAUCGCACGGACUUGUUCCGGCGACGUAUCUUUCAAGUGUCUGCCUUAUCAACUGUCGAUGGUAUGUUACGCGCCUACCAUGGUCGUAACGGGUAACGGGGAAUCAGGGUUCGAUUCCGGAGAGGGAGCCUGAGAAACGGCUACCACAUCCAAGGAAGGCAGCAGGCGCGCAAAUUACCCACUCCCGGAACGGGGAGGUAGUGACGAAAAAUAACAAUACGGGACUCUUUUGAGACCCCGUAAUUGGAAUGAGUACACUCUAAAUCCUUUAACGAGGAUCCAUUGGAAGGCAAGCCAGGUGCCAGCAGCUGCGGUAAUUCCUGCUCCAAUAGCGUAUAUUAAAGUUGUUGCGGUUAAAAAGCUCGUAGUUGGAUCUCAGUUGCAGAGGGACGGUCCUCCUACCGGUGGUCACUGUCUUUUCUGAACGUCACAGCCGGUUUCUCUUGAUGAUCUUCACCGGUUGUCUUGGGUGACCGGCAAGUUUACUUUGAAAAAAUUAGAGUGCUCAAAGCAUGCGUGACGCAUGAAUAAUGGUGCAUGGAAUAAUGGAAUAGGACCUCGGUUCUAUUUUGUUGGUUUACGGAAAACGAGGUAAUGAUUAAGAGGGACAGCCGGGGGCAUUCGUACUGCGACGCUAGAGGUGAAAUUCUUGGACCGUCGCAAGACGAACUACUGCGAAAGCAUUUGCCAAGAAUGUUUCCAUUAAUCAAGAACGAAAGUUAGAGGUUCGAAGGCGAUCAGAUACCGCCCUAGUUCUAACCAUAAACGAUGCCAGCCAGCGAUCCGGCUGUGUUCCUCAAAUGACACGCCGGGCAGCUUCCGGGAAACCAAAGCUUUUGGGUUCCGGGGGAAGUAUGGUUGCAAAGCUGAAACUUAAAGGAAUUGACGGAAG
rnacentral:rRNA from 1 species